CCUACGGGUGGCAGCAGUCGAGAAUCAUUCACAAUGGGGGAAACCCUGAUGGUGCGACGCCGCGUGGGGGAAUGAAGGUCUUCGGAUUGUAAACCCCUGUCAUGUGGGAGCAAAUUAAAAAGAUAGUACCACAAGAGGAAGAGACGGCUAACUCUGUGCCAGCAGCCGCGGUAAUACAGAGGUCUCAAGCGUUGUUCGGAAUCACUGGGCGUAAGGCGUGCGUAGGCUGUUUCGUAAGUCGUGUGUGAAAGGCGCGGGCUCAACCCGCGGACGGCACAUGAUACUGCGAGACUAGAGUAAUGGAGGGGGAACCGGAAUUCUCGGUGUAGCAGGGAAAUGCGUAGAUAUCGAGAGGAACACUCGUGGCGAAGGCGGGUUCCUGGACAUUAACUGACGCUGAGGCACGAAGGCCAGGGGAGCGAAAGGGAUUAGAUACCCCUGUAGUC
rnacentral:rRNA from 1 species